GUCAACACUGUCUCCCUCUAAGUGGUGAAUAUUUUGUUAAGUAUGUGGCAGGGAGCUGUUAUGAGAAAAAUGUGCCCUCGUUUGUGACUUCUCAGAGCAGAGCAGUGCCCCCAGAAGAUCAGGAUCAUGCACACCAGGAACUCAGGUUCUCUGUGAUCUGCUGAAGCGUUGGGCGGCGGCCUAGUAGCCUGAUGUUACGGAAGAACUCAGGGGCAAGCGGCAGCGGGGAGCCAAGAAAAUUGCGUCUUUCAACAGCAAGGUUGUUUACUUUCCAGCGGCCAAACUCUCUGCAAAGGAAAGUAAUUCUCAUUCAGAAAUAUGUCAUUCAGACAAAUGCCUUCAUUUGCAAACUACUCUGCUCUGUCGACUAGCUGGAGGCAACUGGCUGGGUAUUACAACAAGGCUUGACAGUGACACUCCGUCAUGUGUUAUAAGCGUAGGACAAGCAACAAGUCUUAUUUAUUAGAAUUGGCGGCAGUGCUCCAUUACAAAAUCAUCGUUUGGAAAAAUAAAUAAAUAAAAAUUAAGCCAU